rnacentral:tRNA from 1 species
UCCCCUGUAGCUCAGUUGGUAGAGCGGGUGACUGUUAAUCACUAGGUCAGGAGUUCGAGUCUCUUCGGGGGAG